GAUUCGUCACACUAUCAUUAACUGAAUCCAUAGGUUAAUGAGGCGAACCGGGGGAACUGAAACAUCUAAGUACCCCGAGGAAAAGAAAUCAACCGAGAUUCCCCCAGUAGCGGCGAGCGAACGGGGAGGAGCCCAGAGCCUGAAUCAGCAUGUGUGUUAGUGGAAGCGUCUGGAAAGGCGCGCGAUACAGGGUGACAGCCCCGUACACAAAAGCGCAUGUGCUGUGAGCUCGAUGAGUAGGGCGGGACACGUGGUAUCCUGUCUGAAUAUGGGGGGACCAUCCUCCAAGGCUAAAUACUCCUGACUGACCGAUAGUGAACCAGUACCGUGAGGGAAAGGCGAAAAGAACCCCGGCGAGGGGAGUGAAAAAGAACCUGAAACCGUGUACGUACAAGCAGUGGGAGCACCCUUCGGGGUGUGACUGCGUACCUUUUGUAUAAUGGGUCAGCGACUUAUAUUCUGUAGCAAGGUUAACCG
rnacentral:rRNA from 4 species